rnacentral:misc_RNA from 1 species
CCGAGUUUACAACUCCCAAACCCCUGUGAACAUACCUAUACGUUGCCUCGGCGGAUCAGCCCGCGCCCCGUAAAAAGGGACGGCCCGCCCGAGGACCCCUAAACUCUGUUUUUAGUGGAACUUCUGAGUAAAACAAAUAAAUAAAUCA